AAUUCGAUGCCGAGCAGGCCUGCAAGUUUCUGAAGAUUGGCCUUCUUUGCACUCAAGAAUCUCCAAAGCGCCGGCCAUCCAUGUCUUCUGUGGUAAAGAUGCUUACCGGAGAAAUGGAAGUUGACGACAGUAUGAUGACAAAACCUGCCUUAAUUUCUGAUCUUAUGGACCUCAAAGUUAAACAUAAACAAGAAAGUAUAAUUGAUAUGAAGACUUCCUACAAUACAUCCUCUGCCUCAGAGCAUGAGGACACUACAAUUACAUCAGCAGCAACUACAACCUUUUACAAUGCUUUAUCUUUAAAUUAAAAUUCUUAAUUCAUUUGCUUAGGCUUAUAUCUCAUAUAAAUUUUGAAAUCUUUCCAUACUUAUGUUAGUUUUUCUUUUAUAUAUUUUGGUAAGGCUUCAUGACUAGGGAGUGAUAAAAAGCCUUUGGAUGUGUAUUUCCGGACGGGAUAACAAUUGCAUUUUUGUCCGGAAAUACACAUCUUAAUGGCUCAAAAACUGUGUUUUUUUUUUCCGAAUGUGUACAUCUGAAGUGGUUUUGGAGGUGAGAAAAGUUCCUCCAAGUUCUAAAUGUAAGGUUGUGUAAAUAUUCAAUGAUAAUUUGAAGAUAUUUUUUUCUCUGCUUUUUGUUGUGUUGUGUUACUUUCCUCUUCAUUAUUUCUUUGUAAAAAAUACUCUACUAAAUUCUCAAAAUAAAAAAUGAGAAAAGCCCUUCUAGACCAAAUAGACUUAGGCUUUGUUUGCGAUUUAGGAAGGAAGGGAGGGGAGGGGUUUGAAAAAAAUGAAAGAUCAAGUGGAAGAAAUAGAUGACAUUGAGAAAGAAUCAUUUUUUCUCAUAAUACAAAAUCCACUCAUUUGGGGACUCAAAAAUUGUAUUGAUGGAGAAUUUUGGAGGAUUUUGGGAGGUUUACAUGAAUUCUUCAAAUUUAAUCUACGUAGUUAUAAUAUUAUUGAUGAAUUUUCGCUUGAAGGAGGUUUGUGUCAAGGCAAUCCUCUUUCUAUUUUUAUUGGCGGUGGAAGGAUUGAACAUCAUGAUGAAGGCCAUGGUUGAUAACAAUAUAUUUCCCUUUUCUAUUUUUUACUUAUAUUCAAAAUACAUGGAAGUAACUUGUUACUCCAGUUGAUCACAAGAGACGUGGCUCACACUUCAUUCCAAAUGUUAAACAUUGUAAGCAAGGAAACAACCUUUGCAAUCGAGAUUAUGUGUGGUUGACACCCCUGACUUCAUGCAGCCACUAAAUCAUAAUUUUUCAUUCGAGAUCGGAUGGUUCAUACUUUAAAGUCAAAAUUUUCAAAUUUUUAAAAAAUAAAAACUAUAUAAAAAUCUAAAUUGUCUUAUUUUGAUCAAAUGACCGUAAGAACCUAACUACAUUUCUUUUUCUUUUUGAAUAAGUAAAAUUAAUCUAUGCUUAAAUAUGCAAUCCGUCCCUGUAAUUUGGACGCGUUUUGAUUUUCGUCCUUGUAAAAAAAAAAUUAAAAACAUCCCUGUAAAAAAAAAAAUUUGCUUUAAAAAGGUCCCUGACCCCACUAUUCAGUUGAAGUGGCAUGGUUUUGGCCACGUGGCAUGCCACAUAAUUAAUUUUUGUUUAUUUUUUUCAAAAUUCUAAAAAUUCAUUUUUUAAAUUAAAAAAUCCGAAAAUAAAUAGAAUAAUCAUAAAAAAAAUUAAAAAUCGGAAAAAAACACAGAAAAUUAAAUUUUUUGAUUUUUAAUUAAUUUUUUUCCUUUAAAAUUCUGAAAAUUCAUUUUUUUUAAGUUAAAAAAUACUUAAAAAAUAAAAAUAUCUGAAAAUUAAAUUUUUGAUUUUAAUUAAAAAAAGAUUUUUUUUCAAAAAUCUGAAAUUAAAUUUUCAAAAAUUCAUUUUUUUAAUUCUGAAAAUUAAUUUAUAUUUUCAAAAGUUAUAAAUUAUGAGAUUAUAUAAGUUUCAAAAAUUUAUUUCUAGAUUUUAAAAACACUAAUUUCCAAUUUUUUUUCUUCAUAUUUCAAAAAAAAAUUGGAAUUUUUUAUGAUUUUUUAAUUUUAAAAAAUAAUUUUCAGAUUUUUAAUGACGUGGCCAAAGUCAUCCCAUGUCAGGAAAAAAGUGGGGUCAGGGACCUUUUUAAAACAAAAAAAAAUAAAAAUUGUAGGGAUGUUUUUAAAAAAUAUAUUUUACAAGGACAAAAAUCAAAACGCAUCUAAAUUACAGGGACAGAUUGCAUAUUUAAAUCAUUAUUAAUCUAUGAAAAUUAACAUCGAUGAAAAUCAAACCUUUCAAAAAUUAAUUGCAACUUGUCUGCAUCAAAGUGGAUUACACUCAAUCUAUUUUCCAACCUUCAGCUCGAAGAUAUUGAUAUGAUGUAAAUGUCGAAAGUAAUACAAAAAAAUAAGUAUGUCGUGUGACUCAAAUCAUGACCUGAUUAUUGGAUGUAGUUUAUGGAUGUGGCUGUUUUUUUAGUUCUUUUAAUCCAUUUGCUUGUUGUAUUGUAUUCGUAAAAGUUGCAAAUACACCCAUCAUGAUUAAAAAAAAAUUCACUAAUUUUUCCUCUAUAAAAUUCACUAAUUUUUUCGUGUGUUGAUAAUUCCAAUAUGUUUUUCCUCUAUAAAAUUCACUAAUUUUUUAGUAAAAAACGGUUAAACUUCAUUAUAAUAGAAAUAAUAUCAAACACUUUAAAAUAAGCUUCAAUUAAUCACAAAUUUAGAUGAAAUAGAUAUACAAUCAAACGCAAUGAAGAAGAGAUGUAUGUUAGUGACCGUCUUUCUACAGGUUCUUUUUUUAGAUAGACGAGAUGGCAAAGCCAUCAUAAACUCACAUAUACAAAGCAUUUUUGUCACUUGAGUUAGGACUUAUGAGAUUCUUUCUAUCGGUAUUAUAUAAUAGAGAAAUGAUAUACUCCCUCUGCCCUAAAUUGUAUGUUGCUUUAGAAGAAAAAAAAUUUGUCCCAAAUUACCGGUCGCUUUACAAUACCAAUGAAACAUUAAUUUUACUUUUUCUAUUAUAUCUUUAACUAUUUAUUACUCUCUAUUCUUUCAAUUUUUUCUUUUAUCUUUCCCAUAUCAUUUAUUAAGGACAAUUUUGUAAAACAACUCAUAAUAUUUCUUUUCUACAUAAUAUUAAUUAAAUUUCUUAAUAUGUGUGAAAUGCCCAAAACGUCAUAUAAUUUGGGACGGAGGGAGUAUGAACAUCCAUUUGGUGACAACUUUUGUGAUAAUUUUCUCUUUCAUACUCACAUAAAUUUUUACUUUAUCUCUCUAUUGCUUUGAUUUUUGUACAAAUACCUACUUUUUCUUUAUAAAUUAUGUUGUCAGACAAGUUAUUAACUAAAUUGAUUGUUCAAAUAACACUCCUCUAUAUAAUAAUACUAACAUCAAUUUCUUUUUUAAGGAAUACUAACACCAAUUGUUAUAAUAUUAUAGAAAAAAGUAAAAUACCAAUAUUGUAAAAGGAUAUGCUGUAAGACUGGCGGUAUGCCAAUAACGCACACAAGUUGUUAAGGAAAAAUCUUACACAUUAUUUAAUUAGUUAGUUGACAUUUAUAAAAUUUCUUUGCCUUUCAAAAAAAAAACAAUCGUUGGUUGACAUUAUAUAUAUUUAUAUUUCAAAAUCAUGCAACAUCAACAUGGGUUUGUUGAUCUAAAUAAAUAUUAAACAAUCCAUCAACAAUUUGCAUUAUCAAGCAUGGCUGUUUUGACUGACGCUGUUUUCCAACCGAUGAGUUUUGGAUUGGGAUCUUGGAGUUUGCUCCUCCAAAGAUCUCAGGUCGAUUUCCUCUGAUGUCAAUUUCGGUGGACUAAGUCCAGAGCUUGCCGUGGCUUUAAACGGAGCCCCGCAAGUGGGCAGUGGGAUUGAUCUCCUCGGAUUAAUUGAUUCCUGGAUCGGAUAUCGAGUUUUAAAAAAAAAAUACAUAACAAUUUAAGAUACGUCCACUCGAUACGUUUUCUUACCAUUUAAGAUACCAAAUUGAUUAACUUAACGGUAAAAACUGCUGUUCAAAACAAAAGAAAAAACGAUAAAAACCAGUCAAAAUCUCAUAGUUACGUGUAUGAGUUUCAGUAGAUUUUUUCACUUGGUCUACAUGCACACACGGUAAAAAAAAAACAUAGCAGACACAGACAGAAUGAUUCAAGCACACACGGUACUCUUACGUAGUCUGAAAACAAAAAAAGAAAACAAAAAAUGAGAAAAUUCAAACCUUAAUGUACGCGUGUACAAUGUUUCAUGGUCCCUUUAUUAGUAUAUUACAUUGAAUUCUGACACCAUUCACCACGUUUUUGUCUUCUCUAAAUUCUCCUAUCUUUCUGUGUUUCUUUCUCUUCUUCUUUACUUCAACAUUUUCUUAGGUGAGUUUUGUUUCAUUUAACUUCAUCCUUGUUUUUAUGCAUACCCUUUAUUUAUAACUUUGUGUUUUCUUUAUUCUUCUCUUUUUUCCUUCUGAAAGUUGCAAUCUUUUUCAUGUUUGGUUGAUGGGUAUGAUGGUUUUUUCUAGACAUUUCUUUAGGAUGUUCUUAUUAUUAUUGUGUUUGUUUUGGUUUAGCUUCUGAGCAAUUUAGAUAUAUAUUUCAUUCUUAAUCUUCUUUGAGCUGUGAAAAAUAUCAGAAACUGAAUAAUUAUUAUGAUAAUUGAUGACUUUGACUUCUAAACAUAGCUUGUGAUAAACGCAUGAUGCUUAUAGCAAGAGAAAUUAUAGAAUAAUAAAGUCAAAAUCUUAGUUUACAAGUUAUUUUCAUACUUACACAUUUGAUAAAUCAGUUUAAUUUGCAUAAAUUAUUCAGAUUUUGUUAUGGUAAUAUCUGAGUUAAAAUGAAUGUACGUAUUUUUGAUUUGUUUUUUUUUUAAGGGCUGAAAUUUCUGCAUCAUCUUUAUCAUUUUCAAUUAUUUGUAUAAGAUUUGGACUUUAUUAUUCUUCACAACACUGACACUUUUUUAUGAUUCAACCAGGUGACAUUGGAAUUGCUGUUUCAUUUGAAGCAAUUUGAUUGACAUUAAAACAUACUUUUCUGAUACAUCAUUCCGUCAUGACCUGUUUCCCUUUCUCGUUCAGUAAGACACCGUCUUCUUCAAGACAGCAUCCAGACAACGAUGAAGGUAAGAUAACUAACAAAUUGCAAUAGAUAAUAUUAAGAUUGCUGUUAGGUAUGGUGCAUAGUUUAGUAAUAAGUGGUCAGGUUCGCUCGAGCUGCGAUUCAAGGGUUAAUCCUGUAAAUUGGACCGUAGUAUUUAGACACAAGUUUUAAUCUAUAAUCUAAACUUGAAUAAAGGGAAGCUGUAGCCACUCUGCAGUCAGAGACGUAGGUACAUUUGGCCGAACACUAUGAUCAAAUCUCGUGUUUUAUCUGUUUGUGUUUUUUCGUAUCCGUUUACUUUUGAACCAGGGUUGUUGUUCUAACAAUUGUAUCAUUGUAGUUUUUUAAAUUUGACUAAUUUUCUAGGGACGUGGUUAUAUUCUAGAAUUAGGAUAUCUAUGAUAUAAUACAUUGAAAAAUCUACUUACAUUAUUAGAUUUUAAUAGAAUGUACUUUGAACAGAUAUCUCAAGCAUUCAUGAUGUUAAAAUCUAUACCUUCAAAGAACUAAGGAAUGCCACCGAUAACUUUAGUCCGGCCAAUAAAAUCGGAGAGGGUGGUUUUGGUUCUGUCUACAUGGUAAACUAAACUAUUACUUCAUCAUUAUUUUUUUUCCCUUUUCUUAUCAAUGAGUAUGAAACCUUAAUUGUAUUACGGUGUGGAUGAUCAGGGACGACUUAAAGGUGGAAAACUCGCUGCUAUAAAAGUUCUUUCGGCUGAAUCAAGACAAGGGGUGAAAGAGUUCUUGACAGAGAUUAAUGUGAUCUCCGCAGUAGAGCAUGAAAAUUUGGUUAAGUUAUAUGGUUGUUGUGUUGAAAAAAAUAACAGGAUAUUAGUCUACAAUUACCUUGAGAAUAACAGUCUUUCACGAACACUUCUAGGUAAAUGCAUUUAUUUUUGUGUAAAUAUGUUGAUGUUCAGUCUGAGACAUUGAAAGUAGUCACAUUUCUUUGAAAUAUUGUCCGAGAAAAAUUAAAAGAACGACUUGCUUCAUGGAUUUGUUUUAUUAACUAGUCUUUCACUCUCAACAUUGCUCAAAUAUUUUUUCAUCAAUUUUUACGUUUUCUCUUCAGGUGGAGGUCACAAUAGUGAUAGUAUCUACUUUGAUUGGCGAACACGGUGUAGAAUAUGUAUUGGCGUUGCACGUGGGCUUGCCUUUCUUCAUGAAGAAGUCAGGCCUCCUAUCAUUCAUAGGGAUAUAAAAGCUAGCAAUAUUCUCCUUGACAAAGACCUUACACCGAAGAUUUCUGAUUUUGGUCUUGCAAAGCUUAUUCCAGCAAAUGCGACUCAUGUCAGCACACGUGUGGCAGGAACACUGUAAGUAUUAUAAUUCACAGUCUCUAAUGAAUCGAUUUGUGUCAGAAGUUUACUGAUGCAUGGUCUAUUUCAGAGGUUAUUUGGCACCGGAGUAUGCAAUAGGGGGGAGACUCACACGAAAGGCAGACAUUUACAGUUUUGGUGUUCUCCUUGUAGAGAUAGUCAGCGGAAGAUGUAACACAAAUUCGCGACUGCCAAUAGAAGAACAAUUCAUUCUAGAGAGGGUAUGGACAUCUCCCUCCCAAUCAUAUUCACAUAUCUUUUAUUAGCCAUGCCAUCAAUUCUUUACAACCUAUUUGUUUCUUCAAUCCUUUGAAAUGCUUGUGCUCAUCUCUAAGUAAAAGUUUACCUUCCUAUAUCCACAAUUUCCUAUUUCGCAUUAUUUUAGUUUAAUUUAGAUAUACCGUCAGUGUAAAAAAAUUACAUUGACAACAAAUAAGAAUCUCUAUUCACUGAUACGUGUGAUUUUAAAAGCAGUUUAAUUGAAGUCAAAUGUUUUUCAUGAUAUCACGAUUGUGAUUGAUGGGCAAUGUAAACUUUUUUACAUUAAUAGUGUAUACGAAUUAAAUCAUUUUUGUAUAGGCUUUGGCAUUUCAUUUGAUAAGAAUGAUCGUACUCUAAAGCAUGAUAUGAGAUUUCUAGACCUACUCUAAUCUAAACUUUUGUUCUUACAGACAUGGGAUCUUUACGAGCGAAAGGAAUUAGUUGGACUAGUAGAUACAUCGCUAAACGGGGAAUUUGAUGCCGAGCAGGCAUGUAAAUUUCUGAAGAUUGGCCUUCUUUGCACUCAGGAAUCUCCUAAGAGCCGACCGUCCAUGUCUACUGUGGUCAAGAUGCUUACAGGAGAAAUGAAAGUCGAUGACAGUAUGAUGACAAAACCUGCCUUAAUUUCUGAUUUUAUGGACCUAAAAGUUAGACAUAAACAAGAAAGUAUAACUGAUAUGAAGACUUCAUCUUCAUAUAAUACUUCCUCGGCCUCGGAGCAUCAGGACACUACCAUUAUAUCAUCAGCUGCCACUUCAACCUUC
rnacentral:lncRNA from 1 species